GCACGCUUCGAUCGAAUCCAUAAAUUUAGAAUGAUAUUCGAUGUCUAUUAUUCUUGUACGAUAGACAAUUUUGAUAGAAGUUUAAAAUUAUAUAUAAAAAGCUUUGUUCAAUCGAAAUAAAAUAGUUCAUUUUUUUUUAAUCUUAAAAAUUAUUAUAAAUUCAUCAUUUAUUUUGAAGCGAUGAAAGAUAUUCUCUGACCGAAAACAUUUUUUUUUUUCCUUUUGCGAAAGAAGUUUGUAAAGUACAAAACGUAACGAUUAAGAAACUAGUUGAAAGUGUCACGGUGACAAAUUUUAUGCGUGUUUGAGAAAGAAUUAACAGCUCAAGUUUUGAUAGAACUUGCGGGAACAGAGAUAAAUCAUAGAAGAGCACGCGGAGGAGUGAGAAACGGUGGUGAAUGAUUAAAAAUUCUCCACGUAAACGGCGGAUCAUGCGGAUACAUGAUGGAAAAAUUUGACUUAGCACGCGGAGGCACGCUUGCCAACACGUCAGAGGGUGGAAUCCGGUGAAAAAGGCGAUGAAGAACGGAGCAGGUGUUAUGUUUAUCCGGAUAGAAUGCGCAGCCACGUGCAAAAACCGUGGUGGAAAGGUCCUCCAGAUUAAUCUACCAGUCACGAGGGGAGAGGGGAAGCGGAGCUUGCUUGCGACCUAAUUCCAACGCUCGAGCGGCCCAAUCAAAAAUAAUUUUACGAGUUGAGGAGGAGUCGUUAGCGAUACAACCGAGUAUCGGACUUGGCAGCGUUGCGACUCUUUCUAUGAAUUGUGUACGAUAGAGUGAUGGGAAACGAGUUAUAUUGCAAGUAGAUUUCAACGUAACUGGAAAAGUUUUGUUACUUCGUGAUUUUGAAAAAAAAAAAAAAAGGAAAAAUACGUUUAAAUUGAAUUGAAUGUGAACUCGAUAUAUUUUCGCAAGUACGUAGAAUAUUGUGAUUGAAUUUUUGUGCAAUGUAUCGAGAUGGAACCAAGCGUGAAACAUUGAAAGUGGAUUUAUUUUAGAUAGAUUUAAGAUAUUUGUAAGUGAAAUGAUGAUUAUUAUUAUUGAUGAAUGACGUUACUUUUUAUUUUCACAGCUUUUAAAGUAGAUAUAUCUAAAAAAAUUGCUAAUACGUCUUUUGAGGAAAAUAAUUUUUUUUCUUUUAAAAUAAUAAUUGAAUACAUUAUGAAUUUUAUAUUAAAAAAAAAUUAAAAUACACGAAAUUAUAAAAUAUAUUUCUUAUUGUUUUUUUAUAUUUUACGAAAAUCAAAGAUGUUUACGCGAAAUAUUUAUUUCUUUUCUGCUAAUUAAACAGUCUAAAAAAUUUCUUUCUCUCUUACGUAGAAAAAUAAAGAAACAAGAGAAUUCACGGUAUGAAAUUAACUUUAUUCUCUGAAUAAAUUUUACACGUUGCUCAGGGAAGGAAGCACGAAUAAGAAUUUCUGAAUUUUUUUUUAAAAAGAUCAAAGAAACUUAACAUUUAAAAGAUAGAAAAAACAAAAAAAAAUGUUCAUGUUUGUACAAUAAUUAAGAAAAGUUAA